rnacentral:rRNA from 1 species
CGCGUGAGAAUCUAGCUUCAGGUUGGGGACAACCACUGGAAACGGUGGCUAAUACCGAAUAAGCCUUAAGGGGUGAAAGAUUAAUUGCCUGGAGAUGAGCUCGCGUCUGAUUAGCUAGUUGGUAGGGUAAAGGCCUACCAAGGCGUCGAUCAGUAGCUGGUCUGAGAGGACGAUCAGCCACACUGGGACUGAGACACGGCCCAGACUCCUACGGGAGGCAGCAGUGGGGAAUAUUGCACAAUGGGCGAAAGCCUGAUGCAGCCAUGCCGCGUGUGUGAAGAAGGCCUCGGUUGUAAGCAC